rnacentral:tRNA from 1 species
CGCGGGGUGGAGCAGCUCGGUAGCUCGCUGGGCUCAUAACCCAGAGGUCCAUGGUUCAAAUCCAUGCCCCGCUACCG